AUUCUCUUAGUAUAAAGUUAGUAUCUACGACUUCCAAUUGUGGGGUUCACGUUAAUUGUGAGGAGGAUA
rnacentral:tRNA from 1 species